UGGGGAAUAUUGGGCAAUGGGCGCAAGCCUGACCCAGCCACGCCGCGUGAGUGAUGAAGGCCUUCGGGUCGUAAAGCUCUGUGGGGAAGGACGAAAAAACAUUGGCUAAUAUCCAAUGGCUUGACGGUACUUCCUUAGCAAGCACCGGCUAACUCUGUGCCAGCAGCCGCGGUAAUACAGAGGGUGCAAACGUUGCUCGGAAUCAUUGGGCGUAAAGCGCACGUAGGCGGCCUGAUAAGUCGGUAGUGAAAGCCCUCGGCUUAACCGAGGAAGUGCUAUCGAAACUGCCAGGCUUGAGUACCGGAGAGGAUCGCGGAAUUCCCGGUGUAGAGGUGAAAUUCGUAGAUAUCGGGAGGAACACCAGUGGCGAAGGCGGCGAUCUGGACGGAUACUGACGCUGAGGUGCGAAAGCGUGGGGAGCAAACAGGAUUAGAUACCCGCGUAGUCCCUGAGCGGGCUGGCAAGGCGCAU
rnacentral:rRNA from 1 species